rfam:Salmo salar isolate Sally breed double haploid chromosome ssa09, whole genome shotgun sequence.
UAUAUUUUUUUUUGUAAGUCGCUCUGGAUAAGAGCGUCUGCCAAAUGACUUAAA